AGAUCAAAAGGGCCCAAAACAUGCCAAGUCCGAAGGGGCAUCACAUGAAAGCAGCAAUGCGGAUGGUGGCGACCGGCGCACGGGUGAGUAACACGUAUGCAACCUGCCUACAACAGGGGGAUAACCCGUUGAAAGACGGACUAAUACCCCAUAAUACAGGGGUCCCGCAUGGGAAUAUUUGUUAAAGAUUAAUCGGUUGUAGAUGGGCAUGCGUUCCAUUAGCUAGUUGGUGAGGUAACGGCCCACCAAGGCAACGAUGGAUAGGGGAACUGAGAGGUUUAUCCCCCACACUGGUACUGAGACACGGACCAGACUCCUACGGGAGGCAGCAGUGAGGAAUAUUGGUCAAUGGACGCAAGUCUGAACCAGCCACGUCGCGUGAAGGAAGACGGCCCUACGGGUUGUAAACUUCUUUUGUAAGGGAAUAAAGUGUAUUACAUGUACUAUUUUGCAUGUACCUUACGAAUAAGGAUCGGCUAACUCC
rnacentral:rRNA from 1 species